CGGACGGGUGAGUAACGCGUGAGAAUCUGCCUUCAGGUCUGGGACAACCACUGGAAACGGUGGCUAAUACCGGAUGUGCCGCAAGGUGAAAGGUUAACUGCCUGAAGAUGAGCUCGCGUCUGAUUAGCUAGUAGGUAGUGUAAAGGACUACCUAGGCGACGAUCAGUAGCUGGUCUGAGAGGACGAUCAGCCACACUGGGACUGAGACACGGCCCAGACUCCUACGGGAGGCAGCAGUGGGGAAUUUUCCGCAAUGGGCGAAAGCCUGACGGAGCAAUACCGCGUGAGGGAGGAAGGCUCUUGGGUCGUAAACCUCUUUUCUCAGGGAAGAACAAAAUGACGGUACCUGAGGAAUAAGCAUCGGCUAACUCCGUGCCAGCAGCCGCGGUAAUACGGAGGAUGCAAGCGUUAUCCGGAAUGAUUGGGCGUAAAGCGUCCGCAGGUGGCUAUGUAAGUCUGCUGUUAAAGAGUCUAGCUCAACUAGAUAAGAGCAGUGGAAACUACAUGGCUAGAGUGCGUUCGGGGCAGAGGGAAUUCCUGGUGUAGCGGUGAAAUGCGUAGAGAUCAGGAAGAACACCGGUGGCGAAGGCGCCCUGCUAGGCCGCAACUGACACUGAGGGACGAAAGCUAGGGGAGCGAAUGGGAUUAGAUACCCCAGUAGUC
rnacentral:rRNA from 1 species